GCACACGUACGUCUGGUCGACGUCGGCCCAAGAGUGAAACGUCGGCCUCAUUAUCUGAAACAUCGAAUAAGUGUCGGCCAGGCAUAGGUCGAUAUAAUUCGGUCAGUGCUCUGUUUCUCAGCUCAUCAAGCGUCGGCUCUGAGUCGGCUCACGACCGGAGGCCGAUGCCGCGCUUUUCUGUUUGCUGGAGCCGUUAUUCGUCUCUUUUUAUAUAACGUAGCAACCUACAGAGAGAAGAGACUCAUCCCGCGACAUCUGGGGCUUUCAGGCUAACGUUACCAGAAAGAAUCCGUUUCUACGAUGUUUAUUUGUGUAAAUGCUGUGAGUGCGUUGAGCUCUGCGCGAGCUGGGAGCAGAGUUGCCAUGGAAACGUCUCUCGCUGCUGUUUUCACUGCUUUCAGGAGGACAGAAAGAAACUCUACAGAACAGAUGGGAAGCUCCAAGAUUUCAA